UCUCACAGCAGCCGCCGGCCCUAAGCUGGCUCCUCAUGCCCGCUGUUGGGCGCUGCCGGCACCGCCGUUGGGCGCAGCCGGCCGGAGCCCCUGCACUGUGGCCUUAGCAUUGCUUGCGGGUGCGCCGUCGCCGGCCCUUUGGCAUCUCGCCACGCCGGUACAUGAAGCGAGGAGAAAGUGUAAUAGCGGUGCUACGCGUAUGCGGGCUCACUUCACGAAAUGGCUGCCUCUAAAGUCCAUGUCGCUGAAGACACCAAGGUUUUGGAUUCGAUGAUAUAACAAAUGUGCAGAAUCUCAGAUAAUGCGGUAUUGUGCUUCCAAGCUGCUAUAAUACAGAAUGCAGAUACUCAUUUCAGAAAGAGCUAGAGAGGUGGUUAUACAUUGGGAUGCUACUUCGGAGAUACUGAACGAGCUAUUGAGUGACUUUGCAUUUGUCUUCAAUCCUGGUGGGUGUUUCGUCAUUUACUCAUCUGGCAAAUCAUGAUUUCUCUACAAUUCAACAUACAAUUCAGCAUGAGAAAAAGGAUGGGGAGAUCCAAGCAAUAUCCAAUCUUCAUGAGGAAUUGAGGAUGCAUGUGUAGCUGCUUGGUUAAAAUGAAAUGCAGACAAAUUAAGUGCAACAUGGAAGGUUAAAAAAGAUGGAACUUCAGUCAGAGAGAGUAUCUGCAUUUCAUUUUUAAGAUAUAUUUAAAACAUCAUAUUGCCAAUGAAAGAAGAGCAUUUUCGAACUGCCUGGUAUUUUUUAUCACUAAUGCCACUGAAAUAAACAAAAACACAAACAUUAAGAAAUAAGAAAAAUCAUAGAAGGAGACUAUUUGACUCUAGCAAACACAUAUUAGGAUGUUCUCAGCAAGCUAUUUUACAUGCCGUGGAAAUCUAACUUGCUGCCAGCGCCAAAUGUACCUACACAUUGUAAGAGAUAAAAAUAAACCAUUGAACUGUUGAACAAUUUCUUAUGAGGAAGUGCACAACA